rnacentral:rRNA from 1 species
UACGGGGGGGGCAAGCGUUGUUCGGAAUUACUGGGCGUAAAGGGCUCGUAGGCGGCCAACUAAGUCAGACGUGAAAUCCCUCGGCUUAACUGAGGAACUGCACGGGAUACUGGAUGACUUGAGUUCGGGAGAGGGAAGCGGAAUUCCGGGUGUAGCGGUGAAAUGCGUAGAUAUCCGGAGGAACACCGGUGGCGAAGGCGGCUUCCUGGACCGACACUGACGCUGAGGCGCGAAAGCUAGGGGAGCAAACGGG